CCCUUAGACGUUCUGGGCCGCACGCGCGCUACACUGACGAAGGCAACGAGCUUUCCUUUACCGAAAGGUACGGGUAAUCUUUUGAAACUUCGUCGUGCUGGGGAUAGAUCCUUGCAAUUUUUGAUCUUAAACGAGGAAUGCCUAGUAAGCGCAAGUCAUCAACUUGCGUUGAUUACGUCCCUGCCCUUUGUACACACCGCCCGUCGCUACUACCGGUUGAAUGGUUUAGUGAGGCCUUCGGAUCCGCGACUCGUUUGUGGAGAAGUUGGACAAACUCAGUCAUUUAGAGGAAGUAAAAGUCGUAACA
rnacentral:rRNA from 1 species